GAUGAACGCUGGCGGCGUGCCUAAUACAUGCAAGUCGAGCGAACAGACAAGGAGCUUGCUCCUUUGACGUUAGCGGCGGACGGGUGAGUAACACGUGGGUAACCUACCUAUAAGACUGGGAUAACUUCGGGAAACCGGAGCUAAUACCGGAUAAUAUUUCGAACCGCAUGGUUUGAUAGUGAAAGAUGGUUUUGCUAUCACUUAUAGAUGGACCCGCGCCGUAUUAGCUAGUUGGUAAGGUAACGGCUUACCAAGGCGACGAUACGUAGCCGACCUGAGAGGGUGAUCGGCCACACUGGAACUGAGACACGGUCCAGACUCCUACGGGAGGCAGCAGUAGGGAAUCUUCCGCAAUGGGCGAAAGCCUGACGGAGCAACGCCGCGUGAGUGAUGAAGGUCUUCGGAUCAUAAAACUCUGUUAUUAGGGAAGAACAUACAUGUAAGUAACUAUGCACGUCUUGACGGUACCUAAUCAGAAAGCCACGGCUAACUACGUGCCAGCAGCCGCGGUAAUACGUAGGUGGCAAGCGUUAUCCGGAAUUAUUGGGCGUAAAGCGCGCGUAGGCGGUUUUUUAAGUCUGAUGUGAAAGCCCACGGCUCAACCGUGGAGGGUCAUUGGAAACUGGAAAACUUGAGUGCAGAAGAGGAAAGUGGAAUUCCAUGUGUAGCGGUGAAAUGCGCAGAGAUAUGGAGGAACACCAGUGGCGAAGGCGACUUUCUGGUCUGUAACUGACGCUGAUGUGCGAAAGCGUGGGGAUCAAACAGGAUUAGAUACCCUGGUAGUCCACGCCGUAAACGAUGAGUGCUAAGUGUUAGGGGGUUUCCGCCCCUUAGUGCUGCAGCUAACGCAUUAAGCACUCCGCCUGGGGAGUACGACCGCAAGGUUGAAACUCAAAGGAAUUGACGGGGACCCGCACAAGCGGUGGAGCAUGUGGUUUAAUUCGAAGCAACGCGAAGAGCCUUACCAAAUCUUGACAUCCUUUGACAACUCUAGAGAUAGAGCCUUCCCCUUCGGGGGACAAAGUGACAGGUGGUGCAUGGUUGUCGUCAGCUCGUGUCGUGAGAUGUUGGGUUAAGUCCCGCAACGAGCGCAACCCUUAAGCUUAGUUGCCAUCAUUAAGUUGGGCACUCUAAGUUGACUGCCGGUGACAAACCGGAGGAAGGUGGGGAUGACGUCAAAUCAUCAUGCCCCUUAUGAUUUGGGCUACACACGUGCUACAAUGGACAAUACAAAGGGCAGCGAAACCGCGAGGUCAAGCAAAUCCCAUAAAGUUGUUCUCAGUUCGGAUUGUAGUCUGCAACUCGACUACAUGAAGCUGGAAUCGCUAGUAAUCGUAGAUCAGCAUGCUACGGUGAAUACGUCCCCGGGUCU
rnacentral:rRNA from 1 species